AUAGAUCCCCUGCAUCAGCUCAUCCAGCUGUUCAGCAGAACAGCCCUAACAGAAAAAUGUAAACUGGAUGAGGAUCAUCUCUACAUGGCCUACGCAGACAUCAUGGCUAAGGUAUCUGUUGCUGAGUACCAACACUAAACACUUUUGAAUUGAAACUCACAUAGCUGGCUUA